rnacentral:rRNA from 1 species
GGUACUCCUCGAGGUGCUCAGAUACCUAUCAGUAUGAUGGCUACAUAGUAACUGCGAAUGGCUCAUUACAACAGUUAUAGUUUAUUUGAUACAUUAAAUGGAUAACUGUAGAAAAACUAGAGCUAAUACAUGCCGAGACCACAAGGUUGUAUUUAUUAGAUAUUGUAAUUAAGAUGAAUCAUAAUAACUUCACAAAUCUCGUUUAUUCAUCGAGAUAAAUCAUCCAAGUUACUGCCCUAUCAGCUUUCGAUGGUAGUGUAUUGGACUACCAUGGUAAAAAACAGGAAAACAGGGAAUUAGGGUUCGAUUCUUGGAGAAGGAGCCUGAGAGACGGGCCACUACAUCUACGGAAGGCAGCAGGCGCGUAAAUUACCCAAUCCUGACUCAGGGAGGUGGUGACUAGAUAUAACGACCCGAUUAAUGUCGUGAUUGUAGUGAGGAUAUUCCAAACAGAAUCACAAGAACGAUUAGAGGGCAAGUCUGGUGCCAGCAGCCGCGGUAUUCCAGCUCUAUAGCGUAUAUAAAGUUGCUGCAGUUAAAAGCUCGUAGUGGAUUCAGAUGUGUCUCUUUCGAGUAUGCACCUACUAGUCUUGACUGUAUGUGAAAUAGAUGUAGCAGCUAUGCAGAUCUACUGAUACGAGUUGACUGUAUUAGUCAUAAGAGUGGGCUGUUAUGCAGAUGAUGAACUGAUUCGUUCACAGGACACGGCUACACGGGACUUCAUGUAACUGACUAUCGUCUACUAGA